UCCCUUUUUAACGACUUUUACUUUUUAAUCAGUUAAAAAAAAGUUCCUGUUUAUUAAUAUAAAGCAUUUAUGGAUUUUUUCCCUGAGCUUAAUUGUAUUGAAAAAUAUUUGAAUCCCAAAUUACCUGCCUAUCUUUGUGAAUAUUACAUAAAGUUUGCCUUUUUGAUUCUAGCGUUUAUUGCCAGUAUUGAAGUGUGACAGUUAUUUUUUCGCAUCUUAAAAAUCUACCAACUAAUUUGACAUCAAUUCUAAGCAUUUGAAUUUUUUUCAGGCCUCCAUUCGAAGUGAUGGAAGUGUGGUUGGAAAGUUUGGCCAUGCACUUCUCGAUCAAUGCGCCUCUUCCAUUUGAACUUGAAAAUGAUAUUCUCAACUAUUCAGGUCGAAGUAACAGCUCAUCUGAGUCAACUACGCCAGAAUUGCUAACUCCAGAGGUUAGGCAUUCAGCAAUCAUUCCCCCACUCCAGCCUAUCAAAGAGAAACGAGUCAGUUGUUCUUCUGAUGUUUCGGAUAUUGUCUCUGGAGCGGAAGAUUCCGUCAGCAGUAUACAGGAUUCUGUCCUGGAAAGUACAGUUGAAGCCACCGCGCCCAUCAAGAGUUCCUCCUCAUGAUAUCUUUCUCGUUUUUUUUAGGCCUGGUUUAUUUUUAUACUUUUACUUAAGUUUUUCGUUUAUUUUUUGGCAAACAAAAUUGGUAAGGUAUCCGAAGGUUUGCUCAUCAAUAUCAUACUAUCUUCACUUAUCAAAAGAUAUUCUCAUUCCUGGGGUCACCAAAGCAAAUUUUGCAAUUGCAUUAUUUAAGAGUAUUAAGUGAACUGAAUUCUCAGUUAGUCUCAGUUUUUUUUUAUUAUGGCAAUUUAGAGGAAAAUUUAUCAGCAAACACAAAAAGCUGUAGUACCUCAAAACUUGGCACGGGCAAAGCAUUUAAAAUUGUCAAAUUCAUUCAUCACAAUGAAGAUAACGGUGGAAUCUAUAGUAGUUGAAUAUGCAUGGACAGUCAUUAAUCGCUGUGAUUGCGGAGUAUGGUAGAUCCUCUUUGAUUCUUUAUUUGUGUACAACAUGGCACCAAACGAUGCCGUCCAAACUCAUCAACUCAAUUUUUCAUCAUACAUUUGUGUACAAAACAUUGCCUACCCUCCAUUAUGUAAAAUAAAAUGAAGUAAUUGAAGCUAGCGUAACCUGUUACAUGAUGUGAAUAAUUCAAACAGGUACAAAGUGUUCAAAAGGAGAAAGAUGUUAUCACCAUCUGGUUUUUUUGUAUAUUCUAAAUUCAUUGAAUUAUUUGUUCAAACAUGUUUUUAACUUCCAUCGAAAAACAAUAAUUACUUCGCUUUUUAGACUUAGUCUCGAGAGACUAUGAUGCAUUCAUCAUCUCUCUCGAAUUAAACACACAGAAAAUUAUCAUUCUCAGCCCGGUUCCUCUUUGAUUAAACUCACCUGCUGUUAAAUAUAUGAAAUCUUAAUGUUUGUGGUGAAGGAAGUUGAGUGUAUGUAAUUUUCAUCAUUCCACCGUCGAACUGAUCUUAUGAAGCAGCCAUUCCAGAUUUCCUGCUGUGCAAGUUAAACGUUUUUUAUAAGGGCACAUCAGGUGUUCAGUAUCUAUGUACUAAAAUUAUUCUUGCCUCAAAAAUUCCCUUUGGAAGUAAAAAUUAUCCCAUGUUUUAUAUUUAUAUUUCAUUUGUUCACUUGACCCGUCCAAGGUAAUCUUGCCUAAUUUUGUACAUCUCUUUUUCAUCAACUUUUUCAUUCUUAAUAGAAAUUUUCUUAUUAGAAUAGAAUCAAAGUGAUGAAAGAGUACCGUGAGAAUAAAUUCUCAGUGUCUAUUUCCAAUUUUUCUAAUGAUCUGAAAGUUUUAUUGCAAUUUUCUCAUUUUGAUUCCAUCUCCCCUCAAAAUUUUCCAGGAUAAUGCUCAAGUCCUUUAGCUGUUUUUUAAAAUGAACCUCAAAAAUUAAGCUGCGAAUACUUUCUAUUCUUGUGAUGAAAUGUACGUUCCAUUGAUAGCAAAAAUUUGGAGAAGAAUCUUAUGUAAUUAAAAAAAACCUCUGUUAUCUUGGUUCUCAUGGUUUUUGACACAAAAGUAAGAAUGUUGCCAAGAAACCUCUCAGGCACCAAGAAUCAAGACUGUCCGUUGAACCGUCCAAACUCCUGUCUGUACUGCUCACUCACAAAUUUUUGAUACUUUUCAAACUUUGCUCAAAUCCAGAGCAAUGAUCUUUUAAUUUGUUCUGUAGGAAUAACUUACGUUGCCAUCACAUUGGCCUAGUUUGGGGGAAAAAAAGCAAUAUCUGUAAUACUCGCAUUACCCAAGCUUAAAAUUAGUUGCUUGAUCUUUUUGUGUACAGUGAUGUAUUUUAAUAUUUUUCUUUGAAACUUUUGUGUAAAUUUAAUUUAAUAUUCUAAACAUUGGUACAGCAUGUUGAAUAGAUUCGGUCCUCAAGACUCGACUUUAGUUGAAGGGAGCAAACUAUUUACAGAGGAUGUCUUCUCCACUAAAGUCUCUUCAUUUUUUGACGCUUCUGUGUCUUUUAAAAUACCUGUAUCGUAGUAUCAGGGUGUCUAGCAACAGCAAAAGUUAGGGAGAGAAAAGCGCGGCCAGUGCAAAGUCCAUUGUACUUCUUUGCAUAACUUCACAAUGCUUUGAAACAGAGCCCUGCAGUGCUCUUACCUGUCAUUAGUGUCUUAAAAUUUGAGCCUCUGCCAAUCCAUAUCAUUACUCUGCACUGAGUAAUAUUUAUUUUAGAGUUUAUUUUAAUGCAGGGAACAAGGUUAGAAGGACUGUGGAAAGUGAACUAGAAGGAAAUUAAAAUUUUGCUUGACACCCUCCUGAUGUAAAAAAAUGCAUGAAAAGUGUUGUAAUUUUAUCUUGCAGCCCUGAUUCCUUUAUCAUUCGGUUUUUACAAGUCUAAUUUCCAAAUGCUCCCAAAAAACUGAGUUGCGCAAAUUGAUAAUAUAGAGUAAAAAAACGUAUACUUUAAAACCAGCCAAUUAUCAAAUUUAUGAAAUAGUACCUUGAGAAUGUAGUACAAAUGAUCGCAUGAUAGUAUCACCAAGUCGUCAAGAUGUCCAAGAUUUUAAAGUAAUAUAUUUUCUAUUUGCGUACAUUUUUACUAGCGCUAAUGUUUGAAGUGUAACGAUCAGUUACAAGCGAACUCAAUUCAUACUUCUGAUUUCUAUUUAUCAGAUCAGCUGUAAUGUAUCAAUAAGUUUACAGACUCCUCCUACUCUUUUAUUUCACAGUUAAUUGUGGUUUGACAGCAGGUUGUGACUUCCAUAAUAGUAAUCAAAUCAAAGAGCAAAAUCACUUCUGAGAAUAUCAGAACCAAUCGGAAGCACCAUUAUU
rnacentral:lncRNA from 1 species